CUUAUCUGUGCAUAAUCUAGUUUAUCAUAUUCACCACGGUCUGUAUCAUCCAAAUGAUACUCGUUCCUAACGUGAUAGUAUAAUGUGUUAUUUUCACCUAUCUCUAUAUUGAUACAAAAAUUAAGGUAUACCUACUAAAAAUCAUUUUCUAGAAAAUGGAAACUAGGGAGGAGAACAAAAGUUUGUACACAAAUAUGAAAGACUACAUUUUAGACAAUAAUAGGAUAUUUAUGUUAAUAGUUAUUAUAAUUGUAGUAUGCAUAAUAAUGGUUGUCUGUCACUUCAGAAAAUACUCUAUACCUAAAAGUAAAUACAUAUAUGUAACAGAAUCACGGACAAUUCAAAAUCAAAGUGAAGAAACUCUUAUUGAAGUAGAUGGAUUCAGAGUAAAGUCAUCUGUAACUUAUAUACAUAAACCGAGACGGGUACAGCAACAGAUGUAUAAACACGAUUAAUAUAUACAUGAAUAUGCACACAAACACACUAUAUAUAUUGCACAUUUCAAUAUAAUAACUUGCCAUUUUUA
rnacentral:lncRNA from 1 species